GCCAGGCGUGGUGGUGCACAUCUGUAAUCCCAGCGGCUCAGGAGGCUGAGGCUGGAGGAUUGGAGUUCAAAGCCAGCUUCAGCAAUUUAGCGAGGCCUUAAGCAACUCAGUGAGACCCUGUCUCUA
rnacentral:sRNA from 1 species